rnacentral:rRNA from 1 species
GGUUAAGCGACUAAGCGUACACGGUGGAUGCCCUGGCAGUCAGAGGCGAUGAAGGACGUGCUAAUCUGCGAUAAGCGUCGGUAAGGUGAUAUGAACCGUUAUAACCGGCGAUUUCCGAAUGGGGAAACCCAGUGUGAUUCGUCACACUAUCAUUAACUGAAUCCAUAGGUUAAUGAGGCGAACCGGGGGAACUGAAACAUCUAAGUACCCCGAGGAAAAGAAAUCAACCGAGAUUCCCCCAGUAGCGGCGAGCGAACGGGGAGGAGCCCAGAGCCUGAAUCAGUGUGUGUGUUAGUGGAAGCGUCUGGAAAGGCGCGCGAUACAGGGUGACAGCCCCGUACACAAAAAUGCACAUGCUGUGAGCUCGAUGAGUAGGGCGGGACACGUGGUAUCCUGUCUGAAUAUGGGGGGACCAUCCUCCAAGGCUAAAUACUCCUGACUGACCGAUAGUGAACCAGUACCGUGAGGGAAAGGCGAAAAGAACCCCGGCGAGGGGAGUGAAAAAGAACCUGAAACCGUGUACGUACAAGCAGUGGGAGCAC